UCAAAUGUAGCCCAGGGUAGUCUUGAAUUGAAAAUCCUCCAACCUCUAUCUCUUGAAGGCUGGGAUUAUACGUGUGUAUAUCAUGCCCAGGUUUUUCAAGCUGAAUCCAUGGAUGUGGGAUUCUAAAUUACAAAUUAACUGUCUAAUCUUUGGGAAAUUUCUAAGCUGAUGAUAAUAUUGAGUACAAAAAAGAGUACAGCCAUGCCUCUACUUCUAUUAGCUCCUGGAAUCCUAUUACUAUAUGGAUAUGGAGUAAGCCUAGGCAUUCGUUCUAAAGCAGUCUGUUUCACUUGAGACAAUAAGAGGCACCAAAAUGACCAAGAGGCACUAGAACUUAAAGCAUCAUAAAGGCCUUCUCAAGCCAGACAAGGACUCCAGGAGAUGCUCUAACAGAUUCAGUGAUCCAUGGUCAGAGAGGACUAACUCCAUUGUGUUAGGAGGUGUGAGAGAGGGUUCCAAGGUACUUCCCUCUUGCUUCAUAUAGUGUUUAUUUAAACCCAGACACAUACUGGAUAGAGUAGAGAUGAGUGAGUCACAUGGCAUUCUUUCUAGACCAUCAUCCAUGUCCAAAGAGCAUCAGAACAUGGGAUCUGCUGCUGAUGCAUUGAAGCAGUUCCAGAAAGAUCACUGUUAUCUGACUAUUAGUUUUUGAAAUGUUUCAUUCCAAGCUUCUUCAGAAUUUGGAAGGAUCAUAGGAAGAUGGGCAGGAAAAGUCUUGUGGGUUUUCCUUACUGCUUUUCCUCCUGUGUUCUUCUACAUGGUGCAAAGCAUGAACUAUGAUUGGUCUCUGAGGUCUUGCACUAUUUCUUUUUGGUAAUGUUGCCUGAUGAGCAGGUAAUGAAUUCUGGUCUUUAAUGUGCAUCCAGAGAUCAUGAUUUCCUAAUAAUCCAAUGUGUUUUCUUAGAAUCAUCAUUGUAUUGAAUAUAUAAAACAUCUAAACUGAUUUACAGUGUAUGGAGGAUAUGUCUGGGUUCUGUGCUGUCACUACACAAUUCUAUGUGCAUUGAGUGUAGUUUAACUCCACUAUAUUGUUGUGGCUGCUCAGUAUUGCUUAUUGACCAUCUAACUCCCAGGAAGUACAUUAUACAGAGAAACUACCUUUUCAAUGUAUUAUUUCAUGAAUUUUGUAUUAACAAACAUUAAAUUUAAAAGUAUUCUGUCUCUGAAGUGUGCUCAGCAAUUUUGUAUCAGCAAAUCAUGGUUCAGUUGCACACAUUCACAGUUAACAGAGUCUACUAUUGAAAACUGUUGUCAAGUGUAAUGCAUAUUUCUUCCUUCUUGUUAAAUCU
rnacentral:lncRNA from 1 species